rnacentral:lncRNA from 1 species
GUAGCUUGUUUGAAUCUAACCUACUUUACACAGUUCUCAAACGAGAGCUUACUUUGGAAGUAUAUUUAUAUUCGGUUAUAGCUAUAUUAGCAGGGUUGAUUUUUUUCUUAGGUAUAAUUAACCUCAAUUUACUCAAUUUUCUUUGUAAUAUAUAUACUAGUAGUAACAUGGAUAUCGUUUUUGGGGACCUUUAUAGUUUGUUGUUCAGUGUGAGCCAAUGCUCCGUGUUGAAGACCGUACUUCGGUCUAUGAUGGUUUACUUUUACGAAUAGUGACUUAUAGAUGGAGAGUUUUCUUAUUGGCACUCAUACCACAUCUUCUUAUAUUAUUCUGCUCAUUAUUAGUCAUUGAUAUGAUCUAAUUAUUCAAGCAUUUUACUUUGCAAUGAC